UACGUAGGGUGCGAGCGUUAAUCGGAAUUACUGGGCGUAAAGCGUGCGCAGGCGGUUUUGUAAGCCAGAUGUGAAAUCCCCGGGCUUAACCUGGGAAUGGCAUUUGGGACUGCAAGGCUCGAGUGCGGCAGAGGAGACUGGAAUUCCUGGUGUAGCAGUGAAAUGCGUAGAUAUCAGGAGGAACACCAGUGGCGAAGGCGGAGACCUGGGCCGAUACUGACGCUGAGGUGCGAAAGCGUGGGGAGCAAACAGG
rnacentral:rRNA from 1 species